UCUGGACUCGCCGAACUGCUCAGUAACACGUAGCUAACCUGCCCUAAAGAGGAGGAUAAUCCUGGGAAACUGGGGAUAAUACUCCAUAGUUGUCUGGUACUGGAAUGUCCUUACAACCAAAGCUCCGGCGCUUUAGGAUGGGGCUGCGGCCUAUCAUGGCAGUUGUGAGUGUAAAGUACUCACAAACCUGUAACGGGUAAGGGUCAUGAAAGUGAGAGCCCUGAGAUGCUUUCUGAGACAUGAAAGCAGGUCCUACGGGACGCAGCAAGCGCGAAACCUUUCCAAUGGCUUAGCGGUCGAGAAGGGAAUCCUGAGUGACUAUACUUAGUAUAGUCUUUUGUUCUGUCUAAACAGCAGGACGAAUAAGUGGUGGGUAAGACUGGUGUCAGCCGCCGCGGUAAUACCAGCCCCCUGAGUGGUAAGGACGAUUAUUUGGCCUAAAGCGUUCGUAGCCGGCUUAUCAAGUCUUUUGUUAAAUCCAACGAUGCAAUCGUUGGGCCGCAAAAGAUACUGUUAUGCUAGAGGACGGGAGAGGUCGACGGUAGUCCAGGGGUAGGGGUGAAAUCCUAUAAUCCUUGGAGGACCACCAGUGGCGAAGGCGGUCGACUAGAACGUGCCUGACGGUGAGGGACGAAAGCUGGGGGAGCGAACCGGAUUAGAUACCCGGGUAGUCCCAGCUGUAAACGAUGCGGGCUAGGUGUUGGGGCAGCCACGAGCUGCUCCAGUGCCGCA
rnacentral:rRNA from 1 species